CUUCCGGUCCUACGCAAUGAGCGCCUUUGAACCGUGUCAGAUCAGGAAUGAAGCAGCACUAAAAGGGAUUGCACAUGUGCCGUAGGGAACCCGGUGGUA
rnacentral:SRP_RNA from 1 species